UACGUAGGGGGCAAGCGUUAUCCGGAUUUACUGGGUGGAAAGGGAGCGUAGGUGGCUGUGCAAGUCAGAUGUGAAAGCCCAGGGCUCAACCCUGGGACUGCAUUUGAAACUGCAGAGCUAGAGUGCAGGAGAGGUAAGUGGAAUUCCUAGUGUAGCGGUGAAAUGCGUAGAUAUUAGGAGGAACACCAGUGGCGAAGGCGGCUUACUGGACUGUAACUGACACUGAGGCUCGAAAGCGUGGGGAGCAAACAGG
rnacentral:rRNA from 1 species